rnacentral:rRNA from 1 species
AUUGAACGCUGGCGGCAGGCCUAACACAUGCAAGUCGAGCGGAUGAAGGGAGCUUGCUCCUGGAUUCAGCGGCGGACGGGUGAGUAAUGCCUAGGAAUCUGCCUGGUAGUGGGGGAUAACGUCCGGAAACGGGCGCUAAUACCGCAUACGUCCUGAGGGAGAAAGUGGGGGAUCUUCGGACCUCACGCUAUCGGAUGAGCCUAGGUCGGAUUAGCUAGUUGGUGGGGUAAAGGCCUACCAAGGCGACGAUCCGUAACUGGUCUGAGAGGAUGAUCAGUCACUCUGGAACUGAGACACGGUCCAGACUCCUACGGGAGGCAGCAGUGGGGAAUAUUGGACAAUGGGCGAAAGCCUGAUCCAGCCAUGCCGCGUGUGUGAAGAAGGUCUUCGGAUUGUAAAGCACUUUAAGUUGGGAGGAAGGGCAGUAAGUUUAUACCUUGCUGUUUUGACGUUACCAACAGAAUAAGCACCGGCUAACUUCGUG